UCUCUGGAUAUGAGUGAGCAGCCGGGCAG
rnacentral:piRNA from 1 species